rnacentral:rRNA from 1 species
GAUGAACGCUGGCGGCGUGCCUAACACAUGCAAGUCGAGCGAACAGACGAGGAGCUUGCUCCUCUGACGUUAGCGGCGGACGGGUGAGUAACACGUGGAUAACCUACCUAUAAGACUGGUAUAACUUCGGGAAACCGGAGCUAAUCCCGGAUAAUAUAUUGAACCGCAUUGUUCAAUAGUGAAAGACGGCUUUGCUGUCACUUAUAGAUGGAUCCGCGCCGCAUUAGCUAGUUGGUAAGUUAACGGCUUACCAAGGCAACGAUGCGUAGCCGACGUGAGAGAGGGAUAGCCGACACGGGAGCUGGGACACGGUCCAGGCUCCUACGGGAGGGAGCAGUAGGGAAUGUGCCGCAGUGGGCGAAAGCCUGGCAGAGCAGGGCCACGUGAGUGAUAGAAGUCUUCGGAUCGUAAAACUGUGUUAUUAGGGAAAAACAAAUGUGUAAGUAACUAUGCACGGCUUGACGGUACCGAGUCAGAAAGCCACGGCUAACUACGUG